rnacentral:rRNA from 1 species
AUUGAACGCUGGCGGCAUGCCUAACACAUGCAAGUCGAACGAGUGGCGGACGGGUGAGUAAUGUCGGGGAAACUGCCUGAUGGAGGGGGCUAACUACUGGAAACGGUAGCUAAUACCGCAUACCAUCGGAUGUGCCCAGAUGGGAUUAGCGAGUAGGUGGGGUAACGGCUCACCUAGGCGACGAUCCCUAGCUGGUCUGAGAGGAUGAGCGGCCACACUGGAAAUGAGACACGGUCCAGACUCCUACGGGAGGCAGCAGUGGGGAAUAUUGAGCAAUGGACGAAAGCCUGAAGCAGCCAUGCCGCGUGUAUGAAGAAGGCAUUCGGGUUGUAAAGUACUUUCAGCGGGGAGGCGGUACCCGCAGAAGAAGCACCGGCUAACUCCGUGCCAGCAGCCGCGGUAAUAC